CAACCUUUAUCUUAAAGAGAGUUAUAUAAGAAGAAAAGAAAGUUACGGAAACUUUACCAAUGUAUUAAAAAGUAGUGGCUUAAAGAUGUCUGUCAGACUAUUCUAUUCGCUUCAAACGUCAGAUUGGCAGGUAAUCAGCCCCAAAGCCUCACUUCAUUGACUAUUUUUUGGGGGAAAGUACCUGAUAAUUUUGUUCGGUAGGGUUAAUCCUCCGUGUGAGUACCACCUGCCUCCCAGCAGCCCCAGCCCAGAUUAGGCAAAGUUGUAAUGAAUGUUCUUUCUUCUGUGAAAUAUGAUAUACAAAAUGGCAUCUCUGGUUCAGAGGCCUAAAAUAAAUUUGAGAAGCCAUUCUAAGGACUAUCUGCAUGACCUGCAACCUUGUCAAAAAACAAACAAACAAACAAAAACAAAAAUAAAAAUCCUGGAAUUUUGCCUUGCACCUUUGAACUGGCCCAAACCUCAACAACCACAACAUUCUGCAAAACAGCUAAAUUUCACCAGCACUGUGACUCUUGAACAGCAACAACCAAUUAACUAUAGAAUAAUGUACUAAGCCAGGCUCCUUCAACGUUAAUUACUUGAAAACAACUUGUGUAAUCACCCUUAGCUUUCUUUUACAUUACUACUCCCCUCUCUGUCUUCAGAACACAAUUUGGCUUCUAGCAGGAUCUAUUCCUCAAGCUGCAAUGCCUAGGACCCCAGUAAAUGACUUGUCUUACUACUUUGCAGUCUGGUCUUACACUUUUUCUUGGUGGACACUUCAUCACCAGCAAGCGAGUGGUGGAUGAUUGUCAGUUUUGAUCUACUGGACAUUUUGAUUGUCUUCCUUCAGCAACAUCAGUUGUCUGGCUGAGGUUGUGCAGCCAUUCUUAGCACUCUGAGGUGACUUCUUUUGAUAGAUGGACAGUCAGAGGCUGAAGUAACUUGACAGCACCUGUGAUUCUAUUGCAUGUCAGAAUCAACCUACAGAUUCGCACUAGAUGAAGACGCACACGUGGAAGACAUUACUCAUUAGA
rnacentral:lncRNA from 1 species